CAGUCCCAAGAAGCUCCCCAAAAUAGCAAGAAAAUGGCAGAAGCAUGCUGUUAUGAGGCGAAAAAGAAUCACACUCCCAGAAACCGUUGGAAAUACAGAUACAAAAAAGUCCUGCUGCACAUCAGCGGGAAAAGCUGAAAAGGGUUGUUUUGU